rnacentral:rRNA from 1 species
UACGUAGGGGGCAAGCGUUGUCCGGAAUCAUUGGGCGUAAAGAGCGUGUAGGCGGCCCGAUAAGUCCGCUGUGAAAGUCCAGGGCUCAACCCUGGAAUGCCGGUGGAUACUGUCGGGCUCGAGUUCGGAAGAGGUGAGUGGAAUUCCUGGUGUAGCGGUGGAAUGCGCAGAUAUCAGGAGGAACACCAAUAGCGAAGGCAGCUGGCUACAGGGAUAUUGACACUGAGGCACGAAAGCGUGGGGAUCAAACAGG